rnacentral:rRNA from 1 species
UUACGGCUCAGUAACACGUGGAUAAUCUGCCCUCAGGAGAGGAAUACCCCCGGGAAACUGGGAAUAAUGCCUCAUAGUUCGGGAUGACUGGAAUGUUUCCCGUUCAAAAGGUCCGCCGCCUGAGGAUGAGUCUGCGGCCGAUCAGGUCGUUGUUGGGGUUAAGGCCCAACAAGCCAAUAACCGGUACGGGUUGUGGGAGCAAGAGCCCGGAGAUGGAUUCUGAGACACGAAUCCAGGCCCUACGGGGCGCAGCAGGCGCGAAAACUUUACAAUGCAGGCAACUGUGAUAAGGAAACCCCGAGUGCCUGACAACCAGGCUGUCCAUCUGUGCAAAACGCAGGUGAAGAAAGGGCCGGGCAAGACCGGUGCCAGCCGCCGCGGUAAUACCGGCGGCUCGAGUGGUGGCCACUAUUACUGGGCUUAAAGGGUCCGUAGCUGGGCUGUUAAGUCCCCUGGGAAAUCCACCGGCUUAACUGGUGGGCGGUCAGGGGAUACUGGCAGCCUAGGGACCGGGAGAGGUGCGAGGUACUCCAGGGGUAGGAGUGAAAUCCUGUAAUCCCUGGGGGACCACCGAUGGCGAAGGCAUCGCACCAGAACGGCUCCGACAGUGAGGGACGAAAGCUGGGGGAGCAAACCGGAUUAGAUACCCGGGUAGUCCCAGCUGUAAACGAUGCGCGUUAGGUGUAUCGGUAACCACGAGUUACCGAGGUGCCGAAGGGAAACCG